CCAAAUGUUUCCCUUCAGCCCCCCCAGGAGGCGCGCCCCCUGGGGGGGGUGAAGUUUGAAGGUUUCACUGCACUCUUUCCCUUUGAGUAGUUUGACUUUAUUGAGCUGUUUGGUUUUCGUCACACUCCAGUGAAAUAUGAUAUUUUUACAGGGUGUCUUUAUUGUUGCGGCAGCUGAAUCACAGGAAUGUUUCGGAGCCAAUGAAGCCUAUGUUGAGCAGGUUGGUGGGGGCCCGAGGGCCGACACGCCUCAGAGCCACAACUGUCCUGUUUCAUCAUCACCAUCAAAACUAGAACCAAUUCUCACGCUCGUAGAGGGCGACUCCUCUAUCCUCUGACUGAACUGACGUCCAUGACAAACGAGGCUCUGGAUCAGCUGAUACGAGGCCUAAAGAGCGGACCUGACAGGGGGCGUGUCUGCAGCUGUGACCACCCCGAGGGGGUCGCACCUGAAUGUGCAGACCUGCUGUCACACACGUCUCGUGGUUUCACACAGAUGCUUUUACGUGGACAACGCUUACAUCAAAGGCAUGUUUUCCUCCAUACGCAAACACAUGACCUGAGGUACAAACACCUGAACAUGAGCUUCAUCUCGGUGCUGCUGACGAGCCUGAAACAUCCAAGAGCGACAGUAGCCAGAACAUCGCUGCUCAUUACUCAGAACCAAGCAGACGCCCGAGGACACCAGCGAGCCUAAAAGUAUUUGUACGCUCUUGAAAGGACCUGGAUUCACGUGAAUCGUCUGUACUGCUGUAAAAAGCAGAUGUCUGUGAAAAGCAUCUGAUCUCUGGUGCAGACACGUCGCCCUCUCUGCUGACGCUCUGCUCCGUCCUUGCUCAAAGACUCUGGGCUUCUCAAGAGCAGCUGGAUUUCACCUCAUCCAGGAGACGUCUUCACUUUGAAA